rnacentral:tRNA from 1 species
GGUUCCUUAGCCAAGUGGUAAGGCAAUAGACUGCAACUCUGUGACCGUCGGUUCGAUUCCGACAGGAACCUCCA